AGUGAACGCUGGCGGUAGGCCUAACACAUGCAAGUCGAACGGCAGCACGGGAGAGCUUGCUCUCUGGGUGGCGAGUGGCGGACGGGUGAGGAAUACAUCGGAAUCUACUCUGUCGUGGGGGAUAACGUAGGGAAACUUACGCUAAUACCGAAUACGACCUACGGGUGAAAGCAGGGGACCUUCGGGCCUUGCUCGAUUGAAUGAGCCGAUGUCGGAUUGGCUAGUUGGCGGGGGAAAGGCCCACCAAGUCGACGGUCCGUAGCUGGUCUGAGAGUGUGAGCAGCAACUCGGGAAAUGGGACACGGUCCAGACUCGUACGGGAGGCAGUAGUGGGGUAUAUUGGACAAUGGGCGGAAGCCUGAUCCAGCCAUUCCGGGUGGGUGAAGAGGGCCUUCGGGUUGUAAAGCCCUUUUGUUGGGAAAGAAAUCCAGCUGGCUAAUACGCGGUUGGGAUGACGGUACCCAAAGAAUAAGCACCGGCUAACUUCGUGCCAGCAGCCGCCGUAA
rnacentral:rRNA from 1 species